rnacentral:rRNA from 1 species
UACGAGUGGUGCAAGCGUUAUUCGGAAUUAUUGGGCGUAAAGGGCGCGUAGGUGGUAUGUUAAGUCAACUGUUAAAUUCUCCGGCCUAACUGGAGGCAAGCGGUAGAUACUGGCGUACUUGAGGAUGGAAGAGAGAAGUGGAAUUCUUGGAGUAGCGGUAAAAUGCGUAGAUAUCAAGAGGAACACCAAUGGCGAAGGCAGCUUCUUGGUCCACUCCUGACACUGAGGCGCGAAAGCGUGGGGAGCAAACAGG